rnacentral:rRNA from 1 species
CGAAUGGGGCAAGCGUUGUUCGGAAUCACUGGGCUUAAAGCGUAUGCAGGUGGCCAUGCAAGUCAGAAGUGAAAUCCUUGGGCUCAACCCAGGAAUUGCUUUUGAAACUGCACGGCUAGAAUCCCGGAGAGGUUAGUAGAAUUCCGAGUGUAGAGGUGAAAUUCGCAGAUAUUCGGAGGAAUACCAGUGGCGCAAGCGACUAACUGGACGGGCAUUGACACUCAGAUACGAAAGCGUGGGUAGCAAACAGGAUUAGAUACCCUGGUAGUCCACGCCAUAAACGAUGUGUGCUAGUUGUCGGGACCUACGGUUUCGGUGACGCAGCGAAAGCGGUAAGCACACCGCCUGGGGAGUACGGUCGCAAGAUUA